UGGGGAAUAUUGCACAAUGGGCGAAAGCCUGAUGCAGCAACGCCGCGUGAGUGAUGAAGGUCUUCGGAUUGUAAAGCUCUGUCUUUUGGGACGAUAAUGACGGUACCAAAGGAGGAAGCCACGGCUAACUACGUGCCAGCAGCCGCGGUAAUACGUAGGUGGCGAGCGUUGUCCGGAUUUACUGGGCGUAAAGGGUGCGUAGGCGGAUGUUUAAGUGAGAUGUGA
rnacentral:rRNA from 1 species